UUCGGCAUCAGUAGAACAAGCCUGACUCUCGGAGGAGAGUCAGGCUUGUUCUACUGAUGCCGAAUGAUAAAUUCCAGGUACAAAUAUUUUGGUGGAGACCAGUCAUACAAGGAGAAUGGUCUAAUGCCUCCCAUCAAAAAGAGAGCUGUCCUAAGCAAGCACAGGUUACACCUGAAGCAUGAGGACUUGCAGUGAGUGGUGAACUUUAUCAACAACUACGCAGAGGAAAAUCCAAUAGUAUUACCAGGACGUCACCCACACAAACACAAGCUGCUGCCAUCCCAUGUGAAAAGUGCAGCAGUGUGGCGUCUGUACAAGGAAUCAUUGACAACACUUGGUAUGUAAAGUUUAAACACGUUUUGAUUAUUUAAUUGACCUCCAACAUGAUUGGCACUACUUUUAUUGAUCUCACUUUAUUUCUGUAUUUUCCAGAGGUACGUGUAGUCGGGCUGCCUUCCUUCAGGAAUCUGUGGAAAAAAUUGCUGCCCCACAUCUCAAGCACUAAGCCCAGCACAGACCUGUGCUGGCAGUGCCAGAGGAACAACUAUCAGGUCUUCAGAUCUGCCAAUCUGCCAGAAGCUGUUAAGUCAGCCAAGCUGAAGAAGCAAGAGCAGCAAGAGCAGCAUCUCCUGCUCGUUCAGAGUGAGCGGUCUGUCUACCAGAAGACGGUUGCUGACUGCAAGACCACCUGUCAAGACCUGCAGUUACCUCUGGGGGCCCUACUGAACCAGCAAGCAAAGACAUCAGGAUGCAUUACAGCUUUGAUUUUGCUCAACAAUGCACUAGCCUGCAGCCAGGUCCCAUCUACUUCUUUACUCCUCGGAAGUGUGGCUGUUUGGUGUCUGCUGUGAAGGAAUACCACCAAGUCAACUACUUGAUUGAUGAAGGCAUGUUGUCCAGCAAAGUGAAGGACAGCACUCUGACAGGGGUCAACAUCCCACAGCUGGUUGGACUGGAGGAUGGUACGGUGCUGGUGGAAAGCUAUGGCUGGCAACAACACCUGACUCUCUACUUCAGGCCACUGCUACAGAUCAAACAGUACCAGCACUUCACAUGAAUAUCAUUGUCAUUGCAUUGUAUGAGGUUAUUCUUCUUCUUAUCUAAACUUGUGAGGUGAAUUGAUUUUGUGCAAAGUUGUAAUGUCUUCUCAAUUUAUAUAGUUAUUUCCUGUUUUACAGCUUUGAUGCUCUGGAGCCUGGUGUUGUUGGCAAGGAGCGUUCGGACUCAGUCAGGACCAGGUUUCAGCAGCUGUGCAACGCUGACAUCCUUCCUCCCAUAGAUGGUCUGCCUGUACAAGCACCACCUGGACUGGACACAGCUAGACAAACAUAUUUUUGAGAAGAUAAGGGAGUUUUGUUACAAAGAGACUAUGGAAGUCACAUGCCCUGCAACAAAGUCAAGGGCAAGACAGAAACAGGCUCUCUGAAUAUAGAUUCCCUUGUUCAUGCAUGGUUCGGACAGACCAGUCAUGUUUUACUUUUACUUCACUACAUUCUGAAUAAAAAUAUGUAUUUUUUACUCCAUACAUUUUCCCUGACACCGAAAGUACUUGCUACAUUUUGACAGGAAAAUUGUUCAAUUCACACACUAAUCAAUAGAACAUCCCUGGCCAUCCCUACUGCAUCUGAUCUGGCAGACUCACUAAACACAAGUCCUUUGUUUGUAAAUUACGUAAUAAAGAAAUAAAC
rnacentral:lncRNA from 1 species